rnacentral:rRNA from 1 species
CCUACGGGUGGCAGCAGUGAGGAAUAUUGGUCAAUGGACGCAAGCCUGAACCAGCCAUGCCGCGUGCAGGAAGACGGCCCUAUGAGUUGUAAACUGCUUUUGUACGGGGGUAAACGCAGAUACGUGUAUCUUUCUGAAUGUAUCGUAUGAAUAAGGAUCGGCUAACUCCGUGCCAGCAGCCGCGGUAAUACGGAGGAUUCAAGCGUUAUCCGGAUUUAUUGGGUUUAAAGGGUGCGUAGGCGGUCGGUUAAGUUAGAGGUGAAAGCCCGAGGCUCAACCUCGGAAUUGCAUUGGAUACUGGUCGGCUAGAGAGUAGUUGCGGUAGGCGGAAUGUAUGGUGUAGCGGUGAAAUGCGUAGAGAUCAUGCAGAACACCGAUUGCGAAGGCAGCUUACUGGGCU